CAGAGACCCGCCCCGGCCCGCAGGACACCCCCUCGGAACGCGCGGCCCCCGGCUAAGUCAUGUUUAACAGCCUCAGAAAUUAUCUUGUCUCCGCGUUCUUUCUUCUGCCGGCGAGCCAGUGUCAUUUGUGGAUUAUUAAAGAAACCUCUCCAUACCUGAUGCAUAAAGAUAGUUAAGGGUGUAUUCAUAAUUGCUCAUUGAAGCAGUUUUAUGAUGGUACACGAGGCUCUCUCUUCAAUGGCUAUAAAAUUUAUAAUCCCACCAGCAUUUAGGAAAGGAUCAGCACAUUAAUGAGAAUGAAUAAAAGAUGUCCAGAAUACAGAAAGAGAGUGAAAUUUUAAAUAAGACUGUCAAGACGAGUCUUACUGAGAAGAUGGAACUGGAGCGAAGACUAAGAGAAGGUAGCUGAAAUACAACAUCAUAAUUUUUACUGGAAAAUAGCCACAAUGAAGGAACACCACAAUUUCACCAUGAAAACCAGCACAACCUUACACAGAUGACAAACAUUUCCCCUCAAAACUUGUUAAACUGUAUUUGGGCUGACCAAAUUAACCAGAGUUAUUCUAUUUAUGGGGGAGCAGGAAGUAACUUGAUAAAAUGCUUUGAGUUUAUAUAUCAUGUCAAAUAAAUAGCAUAAUUUUAAAGGAAAAAAACUUGUUAGGCAAUGUUCUCUUAUUUUCUGACAUCACAUAUUGUGACAGAAUGUAAGGCCAACCUGGUUUUUACAAAUUCCGUGGUCUAAUUUUUUUGUUGUUGUUAGUGUAUAAAAAUAGC
rnacentral:lncRNA from 1 species